UACAGAGGGUGCGAGCGGUAAUCGGAAUUACUGGGCGUAAAGCGCACGUAGGUGGCGACGUAAGUCGGGUGUGAAAGCCCCGGGCUCAACCUGGGAAUUGCAUUCGAGACUGCAUUGCUGGAGUACGGAAGAGGGGGGCGGAAUUCCCGGUGUAGCGGUGAAAUGCGUAGAUAUCGGGAGGAACAUCAGUGGCGAAGGCGGCCCUCUGGUCCAGUACUGACACUCAAUUGCGAAAGCGUGGUGAGCAAACAGG
rnacentral:rRNA from 1 species